AGUGAUACUGUGUGAAGUGCUUGGAGUCUCGAUCUUGAGAGGCAGUUCUUAAGUGGAAUGGUUUAAUGGUCAUUUAGCGUGAUGGGCCUUUGGAGUAUAAUAUCAUUUGCCUGCCAGUUAAAAUGAACACUUCUCGGUAGGAAGUCAAAGAUCAUGUCAGCGUAACUUGGGUUAGGUGAAAGAAAGCAUCAAGAAGUGAAAGCCGAAGUAGAGAUUAGGGAAUAGAAUCUGCCAUGUGUCUCGCCUGUUCAUAAAUCCAGGGUCAUUAGAGAACACUGCUAAUUCCCACUAAUCGGGGAAGAUACACUCCACAUUGGUGAAAAGUUUGAUUCAUUUUUAAAGAACUGCAGCUUUAUUAUCUUCCCCACUUUCCUCAUUGUGUAUCUGCUAAUACUAACCUCCUUUUGCCUUUGGUAACAGAAAUAGACCCACAGACAUAGAAUACCCCUCUAAUCUUACCUGAUAGCUUUCCUUCCCACUUUGUUGAUAAAAUUGAAGUUAACAGUGAAGAAGCUGACCUUGCCCACCCUGAAACCUCUGUCUUCGUUCUUCCUGCAGGUAUGUGGGGAAGGGGUGCCCCCUCCUGCUUCAGGCCAGUUCCAUCCCCUAGGCUCUUCAUGCCACCCUUUCUCAUUCCUUAGGGACCAUAAUCCAUCAAGUGCUCCUCUGUCUCUUGUCCUCUCCUCUGUCUCUUGUCCUCUUCCUCUGUCUCUGCUCUUGGGUCUUUUACCCUCUUUUUGGAGGGUAGAAAUGUUUCCUCAGUUUUUGCUCCCCUCUUCUCCUUUUAUUGUUGUCACUUCGAAGGUGUCCACUCCCUCCCACUUACCUGUGAGCACAUACAUUCCUAGGUGAGUGCUUCCUGCAGGGUGAAGGUCUCUCCACCAUGCCUACCCUGCUAUGGGGUGGGACUGAUCAUGGACCAGGGCCACCUCUCCUCCCACAUCAGGCCCUGUCCUUCCUGGGGCUUGCCAUCCUCUGGAUCCAGCACUGUCCUCUGGAUGCCGUUAUGGCAUCUGCCCUGCUCCUGCUCCAUGUGCUUCAUGGGCAGUGUCCUAUGCACUCACCAUUUAAACAUUUAAAUCUCUGUCUUCAAUCCUGCUGUUUUCUUUAAGCUCCAGAACCAGAUAUUCAACUGCAGAUUGGUCAUCACUACCUCAGACUCACCAUCUCAAACCCAAAAUUUGUUUAUCCUGCAGCUUCAUUCUUUCUUAGUGGCCAUCUCAGCUGCUAGCAUCGGGGUUCACAAAUUAUGGCCAGCUAGCCACAUUCAGCCUGCAUGUGGUUUUGUAAAUGAAGAUUUACUGGAGUACAGCCAUGCCCUUUUGAAAUGUAUUUUAAAAGGGACCAUGUGGCCUUUAGAACCUAAAAUAUUUUCCAUUUGACCCUUUAUAGGAAGUUUACCAACUCCUAUCCCAGGGCAGCAAAAUCAUUUGAAGGACUUGUGAACAUGCAUUGCUGGGUUCUACCUCCAGAAGUUUUGAUUCAGAGACCUGAGAAUUUGCAUUUCUACCAAGAUCCCUGGUCCAGGAACUGCCCUUUGAAUAGACUCAAAGAACAGCGAUUUCAAUCAUUGUCAUUCACUUUUAUCUCCUAAAGAGGUAUUAAAUGUCUCCUUUCCAUCAAAUCUAUUCGGUGAAAAUAUAUACAUAUAUAUAUUUUAGAAAUACACAUCUAUCUGUAUAAUACAGUAAGCUCUUAGAGUUGUUCCCUUACCUACAGAUAUAUUCCAUGAACUUGAGUAAGUUAUGGGUCCCAAGAAAAGGACAAAGAUGAGGACCACCACAGCAUCAGUGUGAGCUAUUUCUGUCUUGUGCCAAGUACUUCAGCAUGAACUCGUUGGAGUUCCCAUCAUGGCGCAGCAGAAAUGAAUCCGACUAGGAACCAUGAGGUUGUGAGUUCAAUCCCUGGCCUUGCUCAGUGGGUUAAGGAUCCAGUGUUGCCAUGACCUGUGGUGCAGGUCACAGAGGUGGCUCAGAUCUGGCCUUGCUGUGGCUGUGGCAUAUAGGCCAGCAGCUGUAGCUCCGAUUAGACCCCUAGCCUGGGAACCUCCAUAUCCGCAGCCCUAAAAAGCAAGCAAGCAAACAAACAAAAAAACAAAAUGACCCAGUGUAGUGGGAACAUUUAUUGUCCCCAUUUUCCAGAUGGGCAAACUGAGUUGCAAUGACAGUGCCAUAUAGCAGGAAGAUAGUAGAAUCAGAAUUUGAACCCAAGCAGUCUGUCUCCAGAGCCCAUGUAACAGUGAAGCUCCCACAGCUCUUAUCUCCCCACCACCCCCUCCUGGUUGAUUUUAUUUUUGUCAUCUAUUGCCUGAAUACACACAAUUAUAAACCUAGAUAUAUUCUCCUGUGCAACUAGAAGGCCAAACCAUAGUGAAUACAAAGAUAUAAUUCCAAUGAAAUCUAAGUUAACAUUAUAUUGGCAUGACAUGAUUUUACUGAAUAUUAAAUUGUCUCUUGUGACAUGAAUUGGUAUUGGUUUGCCUCUAGUAGGUUCUGGUGAAUUUGAGGCAUCUGUAGCCUAACUGUAGCCUGAGGCAUCUUUUAUCUGUUACACUUCUCUUUUUCAAGCCUAUGUGAAACCUUCAUUUUUAUACCAUAAUAUGAUGAUUGGGCCUGAAUGGGCUAUACAGAUAUUAAGUUGACCUCUUUUUCCCUUCAUUAAACUAUUUCUAGAUAGUAAAACCUGUCACAAUGCAAUCCAAAGAAAAACAUUGGCCCUGAAUUACACAAUGGAAUGGUCUGGGGUUUUUAGGUGGUUAGCAGACCCAGUCUGGGGAACUGUGACCCCCGGGAGGAAGUCUGACUUCCACACUGCUGUUCAAGGGCCUUCACACCAGAGCCCUGCUCACCUUUCCUCUUUGCAUCUGCUGCUGUCUCAUGCUUCACCAGUACUAAACUACUUGUAAUUUCAGGUACUCAGUGAACUGUUUCCUUCCUUAAGCCUUUGUAUGAAACUUUCCUCUGAAGGACUCACUCUUCUAUUCCUCAAGUCCACCCCUCAAAUCCACUCUACCCCCGACUCCUAUUCAUCCUUUAAAACCCUCUCCAGCAUAGCCACCUCAUGAACCAAACCAUCGAACUGCCACAUGUGUAGAGAAACCAGCUUAUGACUUGCUGUAAGGCCAGGCAAGGCCCCUGUGAGCUGCCUCGGGCUUCGAGAUGAAUUCCACAAUGCCAUCCAGCCUGGCUUCAGAAGUAGACUUUGUAGGGACAGGGAGAAGUUUGAGUCAGGAUCAGCAAGAGAAGGGGGCAUGUGGGAUCCCGACCUCCUUCAUGCACCCAGAUGUACUGUGGGUACAAUUAUGUCCCAGAUGCACAGUGGGCUUCUCUAUUGCCCUUUUUCCUGGCAAAGAUUGACAGGUGGUCUUUGCUUUGGGGAAUAAUCCAACAAGCUGAGCAUCAGGUGGGCUGGAUCUGGGGGUAAGAGCUAUUGAGAGUGGCCCUGGGAAGCUAGCUGUCCAGGCCUGGAAACUUUAAACCCCAGGGAAGAUGUUUAUCUCUCUCCUGUGUGAGGAAGGGAGCAGAAUGGGAUGAGGUCCAUGGAAGCUGAUGUGGGAUGCGCUCCCCUUCCUGGCACCAGGGGAGUUGGCUCAGUGUCCAGGCAACUCAGAACUGGAUCUCAGGAUCCUUCUCAGAUGUGUCUGCUUGCCAUGUACAUGCCCUACCCUGCCUUUGAGUGGUUCAUUAAGUUAAAAAAUCAACUUGGAAAUUCUCUCAAGCAAAAUAUACAGAAAGAACAAGGGAAUGAGUAGAGGCUUGGGACUUUUCUAUUGACUGUCAUUAAAAAUCAGCUCUACCACUGGGCAGAUUUCCAAGGCAAGUGUCAAAUAAGGAUUCCCACUGAGAUAGAAAUACUCACUGCGAGAUUACAUACAGGUGCCUAUCAAAGUGAUCAGUGUUUGAGAAAAUUCAUCCCUACUGAGGAAAAUACCAUUCCAUAUUUCUGGAUGGGUUAUAGGGAAAAUGGGGCUAAAUACCUCUGUUGUAAGAACUAUCAAAUUGGAAUAAUUUUGCCGGGCCCUGUUAACACGCAAAAUCCAAUCUCUUCAACACUGAUUCACCACAACAGUAUAAAAUGUGUGUGUUGCAUGUGGGUGUUAGCCUCUUUUAAGAUGUAGCCAGAUGAGGGAGUUUCCACUUUGGCUCAGCAGGUUAAGAACCAAACAUGGUAUCUGUGAGGAUGUGGGUUUUAUCCCUGGCCUUGCUCAGUAGAUCUGGUGUUGCCGCAAGCCUCUGUAGGUUGCAGAUGUGGCUGGGAUCCAGCGUUUCUGUGGCUGUGGCGUUGGUCUGUAGCUGCAGCUCAGAUUCAAGCCCUCGCCUGGGAACUUUCAUAGGCCA
rnacentral:lncRNA from 1 species